rnacentral:rRNA from 1 species
GAGAGUUUGAUCCUGGCUCAGAAUCAACGCUGGCGGCGUGCCUCAGACAUGCAAGUCGAACGCGAAAGUCCCCUUCGGGGGAUGAGUAGAGUGGCGCACGGGUGAGUAACACGUAGGUAAUCUACCUUCGGGUGGGGAAUAACCCAGGGAAACUUGGGCUAAUACCGCAUAAUGCAGCGGCACCACAUGGUGACAGUUGUUAAAGCGGGGGAUCUUCGGAUCUCGCGCCUGAAGAGGAGCCUGCGGCAGAUUAGCUAGUUGGUAAGGUAACGGCUUACCAAGGCGACGAUCUGUAGCCGGCCUGAGAGGGCGGUCGGCCACACUGACACUGACAUACGGGUCAGACUCCUACGGGAGGCAGCAGUCGGGAAUUUUGGGCAAUGGGCGAAAGCCUGACCCAGCAACGCCGCGUGAAGGAUGAAAUCCCUCGGGAUGUAAACUUCGCAAGAAUGGGAAGAAUUAGUAGGG